CUUAACCUUGGUACAAGGACCACAUUAUAUCACUUGUCCUGUAUUUUAUAUGGUAAAACUCUUGGAAAUAUUCAGUAUUAUUAUACAUGUAUAUAAACUCCUAUUUGAUAGGAGUUUUUGUUAUCUGUAUAAUAUUAAAAAACAAUCCACAAUAAAAUCCAGAAGCUAUACUACCAGAAUCCUGCUACAUUAAGAUAGUACUUUUGAAUAUAUAUAAAUAAAAUGAAAUGG